GUGUCAGCAGCCGCGGUAAGACAGGGGUCUCAAGCGUUAAUCGGAAUCACUGGGCUUAAAGGGUGCGUAGGCGGGCCUGUAAGUGUCCUGUGAAAUCCCCCGGCUCAACCGGGGAACUGCGGGGCAUACUGCGGGUCUUGAGGAAGGUAGGCGCCGAGGGAACAGUAGGUGGAGCGGUGAAAUGCGUAGAUAUCUACUGGAACGCCGAUGGUGAAGACGCUCGGCUGGGCCUUUCCUGACGCUGAGGCACGAAAGCGUGGGGAGCAAACAGGAUUAGAAACCCCCGUAGUCC
rnacentral:rRNA from 1 species